rnacentral:rRNA from 1 species
AGCAGCCGCGGUAAUUCCAGCUCCAAUAGCGUAUAUUAAAGUUGUUGCAGUUAAAAAGCUCGUAGUUGAAUUUCGGGAUCAAUAUGUUGGUCGUGCCUUGGUACGUACUGGCAUUAUCGAUUCCUACCUUCUGAAGAACCUUGAUGUCAUUAAUUUGGUGUCUUGGGGAAUCAGGACUGUUACUUUGAAAAAUUAGAGUGUUUAAAGCAGGCUCGCGCUUGAAUACAUUAGCAUGGAAUAAUGAAAUAGGACGUUUGAUUCUAUUUUGUUGGUUUCUAGGAUCGACGUAAUGAUUAAUAGGGAUAGUUGGGGGCAUUAGUAUUCAAUUGUCAGAGGUGAAAUUCUUGGAUUUAUUGAAGACUAACUACUGCGAAAGCAUUUGCCAAGGAUGUUUUCAUUAAUCAAGAACGAAAGUUAGGGGAUCGAAGACGAUCAGAUACCGUCGUAGUCUUAACCAUAAACUAAUGCCGACUAGGGAUCGGAUGAUGUUAAUUUUAA